GCAAUAGGCAAGGAGGAGGGGGCGGAGGGAGCGCCGUGCUUUGGAGGAUUUGCUGGCUGCCCCUGUACUGUAACUGCUCCAAUGUAACUGAUGACAUGAACUGGCUUCAGAUGGGACUUCUUCCAAUUGACCUGGAUGCCCAAGUUUUGGAGGAGAGACGAAGCAUACAAUGUCUGAGAACACAGCUCUCCUUCGUCUUUGGAAGUCAAGACCCAGUCGUCAAGAUACAGAUAGACCGACAUACCCUGAAUUCUUAGGGGUGGUGUGGCGAUGACCCAUCUUAGAGGAAGAGGUGCAAUCAAUAACCAGGGAAUUGGGAGCAGGAUGUUUCAAAAGUCAGAAAGAAGAGGGGCUUGUCUUCUUUGGCAUUGGCUGUUUGGAAUUCAUCUCUCAGUCGGAAUUGCCACUCAUCUUCCAGUUCCAGCCGGACAACCGUCUGACGCAGGGAGUUCCUGUCUUGGCAAAUGACACAUAAGGUGGCACCUGUGGGAAUUGUCAUUGUCAUUAUUUGUUUUUACUAUUUUUUACUUAUAUACCACUUCCCAGCCAAAACAAAUGGCCCCUAAAAUGGAUCACCAGCAUAAGAUGUAUAAUGUGUAAUGUAAAUUACAAUAAAAUCCUUUUAAAAACA